rnacentral:rRNA from 1 species
UACGUAGGGUGCGAGCGUUGUCCGGAAUUACUGGGCGUAAAGAGCUCGUAGGCGGUUUGUCGCGUCGGGAGUGAAAACACGGGGCUUAACCCCGUGCCUGCUUCCGAUACGGGCAGACUAGAGGUAUGCAGGGGAGAACGGAAUUCCUGGUGUAGCGGUGAAAUGCGCAGAUAUCAGGAGGAACACCGGUGGCGAAGGCGGUUCUCUGGGCAUUACCUGACGCUGAGGAGCGAAAGUGUGGGGAGCGAACAGG